rnacentral:lncRNA from 1 species
GAUAGCAUGGAUAGGCUCAGAGGGGCGCAGGGUUUUGGCGGCUUCCCGAGUUCCCCUCGCCGACCGCCAUGUCACAUCUUACGGAAGAGGCGGGGGCUGCCGCGGAGAGGAUAUUUUUUGUUUUGUUUUGUUUUCACAAGAUAAGAUGUAAGCUACUAUACCAGCACUAUGCCUGCCUACCUGCUGCCACAUUCCUUGUCAUGAUAACCAUGGACUAAGCCUCUGAAACUCAUCCAGGCACUGAAGCUCUGGAAGCCCAGCGAGGACAACUCAGACUCAGGAGACAGAGGACUCUGUAGAAGAGGUGUUCCAGGGCCUGGGUGCCACCAGCCAGCUCCGCUAGAAGAAUGCUGUGAGAACAGGCUGGCACUGAGCUGGAGUGGCCAUCGUCACAAGGCACACAUCCUCAGAUUUUUGGAACAUACUUACAUCUCGAAGAUAGCGCUCCAUCCAUUUAAUGAUAUCAAUACCCCGGAUUCUAUCCUCAAAUAUGUCAAUCUACAAGAAAAGGAUGCGCAAAAGAGCUCUUAAUGAGAGCUUUCUCCGAGUGCAGACCUCAAGAAAACACAAGAUCCUACAUACAUGUGCAACCCUAAAAGUAGUGCUCUCAAUAAGGAGGAACACGUGAGACCAAACAGAGAAGCAAAGAGUGUGGAAUGCAUCAGUUAAAAUCUCAAGAAACCCCGAGGCAGAGGAUUAAGAGAUACUGAAGAGAAGAUGAGUCUGUGUGCAUUUAUCUGUGCUUAGCCUGCUCCGAAUGGGAACUCAGCUCUCAAAUGAAGGUGUGUGUGGUAUGUGAUGGUGGAAGUAACCAGCAGCCAGGCAAAUGGCAGAGCGUGGCCCUUUUCCACCUCCAUGUGUAAUAAUUGCAGGACUCCCUUCCCAGACAAGACUGCUCACUCCUGCAGAAAAUGACCUUGUUCUUGAGAGCUGCUGCUAAUUUACAGUGAGGCACUAGGUUUCUACCCAGUGCCACGUGAGCAACCAAUCCAUCUACCCAGGGGCACGGCACUGACGAGCAGCAUCAUUUAGAAGGAAAGAAGUAUGGGUGGUGUUUGUUGUUUCCUGUGUGUUAAGGAAAAUCCAGUGGCUAGCUCCAUGUUUUGUUCACGUGACUCUCAACCUGGUGUGGCCUGGACUCUAGUCCCUGCCUCAAGGAAAGUCCAGACUGACAUAGAAAAUCCCUGCUCACCAGCCUUGACCUUGGGAGAAAGCCCCUGACCUGUGAGUGGACAGAAGGCCUGGUGGUC